rnacentral:rRNA from 1 species
CAGGACGAACGCUGGCGGCGUGCUUAACACAUGCAAGUCGAACGAUGACGAUGGUGCUUGCACCGUCUGAUUAGUGGCGAACGGGUGAGUAACACGUGAGUAACCUGCCCUCCUCUUCGGGAUAACCGCCGGAAACGGUGGCUAAUACCGGAUAUGAAUGCCUGCCGCAUGGUGGGUGUUGGAAAGAUUUAUCGGUGGGGGAUGGACUCGCGGCCUAUCAGUUUGUUGGUGAGGUAAUGGCUCACCAAGGCGAUGACGGGUAGCCGGCCUGAGAGGGCGACCGGCCACACUGGGACUGAGACGCGGCCCAGACUCCUACGGGAGGCAGCAGUGGGGAAUAUUGCACAAUGGGCGAAAGCCUGAUGCAGCGACGCCGCGUGGGGGAUGACGGCCUUCGGGUUGUAAACCUCUUUCAGCAGGGAAGAAGCGAGAGUGACGGUACCUGUAGAAGAAGCGCCGGCUAACUACGUGCCAGCCGCUGC